GGUAGCACAGCGGUAGACCACGGAGGCUCCUGCCGCGAUUGUGGAGGUAUCGCAGUUUCCACAUGGGGUGGAGAAAGGGCGGUCGUGGUGGCUCGGGCCGGGUCCUUCGACACUGCAUGAUCUGGACGUGACCACCGUGCCCAGUAAGGACGUGGUGAUGGUCCACGAGCCCAAGCAGAAAGUGGACCUGACCCGGUACCUGGAGAACCAGACGUUCAGAUUCGACUACGCCUUCGAUGAGAACUCCACCAACGAAAUGAUGGACAGGUUCACUGCUCAGCCGCUGGUUGAGACCAUUUUUG